rnacentral:rRNA from 1 species
CCUACGGGAGGCAGCAGUGAGGAAUAUUGGUCAAUGGACGAGAGUCUGAACCAGCCAAGUAGCGUGAAGGAUGACUGCCCUAUGGGUUGUAAACUUCUUUUAUAAAGGAAUAAAACGAGGCACGUGUGCCUUUUUGCAUGUACUUUAUGAAUAAGGAUCGGCUAACUCCGUGCCAGCAGCCGCGGUAAUACGUAGGGAGCAAGCGUUGUCCGGAAUUACUGGGUUUAAAGGGUGCGUAGGCGGGCUGUUAAGUCAGCGGUAAAAGCCCGGGGCUCAACCCCGGCGAGCCGUUGAAACUGGCUGUCUUGAGAUGUCGAGAGGUAUGCGGAAUGCGCAGUGUAGCGGUGAAAUGCUUAGAUAUUGCGCAGAACUCCGAUUGCGAAGGCAGCAUACCGGCGGCGAUCUGACGCUGAGGCACGAAAGCGUGGGUAUCGAACAGGAUUAGAUACCCGAGUAGUC